rnacentral:rRNA from 1 species
UACGAAGGGUGCAAGCGUUACUCGGAAUUACUGGGCGUAAAGCGUGCGUAGGUGGUUCGUUAAGUCUGAUGUGAAAGCCCCGGGCUCAACCUGGGAACUGCAUUGGAUGCUGGCGAUCUGGAGUGCGGUAGAGGGUGGCGGAAUUCCCGGUGUAGCAGUGAAAUGCGUAGAUAUCGGGAGGAACAUCCGUGGCGAAGGCGGCCACCUGGACCAGCACUGACACUGAGGCACGAAAGCGUGGGGAGCAAACAGG